ACGCUGGCGGCAGGCCUAACACAUGCAAGUCGAGCGGCAGCACGGGUACUUGUACCUGGUGGCGAGCGGCGGACGGGUGAGUAAUGCCUAGGAAUCUGCCUGGUAGUGGGGAUAACGCUCGGAAACGGUAGCUAAUACCGCAUGACCUCGCAAGAGCAAAGUGGGGGACCUUCGGGCCUCACGCCAUCGGAUGUGCCCAGAUGGGAUUAGCUAGUAGGUGGGGUAAUGGCUCACCUAGGCGACGAUCCCUAGCUGGUCUGAGAGGAUGACCAGCCACACUGGAACUGAGACACGGUCCAGACUCCUACGGGAGGCAGCAGUGGGGAAUAUUGCACAAUGGGCGCAAGCCUGAUGCAGCCAUGCCGCGUGUGUGAAGAAGGCCUUAGGGUUGUAAAGCACUUUCAGCGAGGAGGAAGGCGCUGUAGUUAAUAGCUGCAGCGAUUGACGUUACUCGCAGAAGAAGCACCGGCUAACUCCGUGCCAGCAGCCGCGGUAAUACGGAGGGUGCAAGCGUUAAUCGGAAUUACUGGGCGUAAAGCGCACGCAGGCGGUUUGUUAAGUCAGAUGUGAAAUCCCCGAGCUUAACUUGGGAACUGCAUUUGAAACUGGCAAGCUAGAGUCUUGUAGAGGGGGGUAGAAUUCCAGGUGUAGCGGUGAAAUGCGUAGAGAUCUGGAGGAAUACCGGUGGCGAAGGCGGCCCCCUGACAAAGACUGACGCUCAGGUGCGAAAGCGUGGGGAGCAAAC
rnacentral:rRNA from 1 species